UACGUAGGGUGCGAGCGUUAAUCGGAAUUACUGGGCGUAAAGCGUGCGCAGGCGGUUCGUUGUGUCGGCGGUGAAAGCCCCGGGCUUAACCUGGGAAUGGCCGUUGAAACUGGCGAACUGGAGUGUGGCAGAGGGGGGUGGAAUUCCGCGUGUAGCAGUGAAAUGCGUAGAGAUCCGGAAGAACACCGGUGGCGAAGGCGGCGCACUGGACCAUAACUGACGCUGAUGCGCGAAAGCUAGGGGAGCAAACAGG
rnacentral:rRNA from 1 species